GAGCCAAAAGGGUCGACGGCACCACCCAGACACUUUAGACACCUCUGGAGCGUCGCCAUCUGGGCAGGCAGUGUUCCCUCAGAAGGUGUGUGUGUGUGUGUGUGUGUGUGUGUGUGUGUGUGUGUGUGUGUGUGUGUGUGUGUGUGUGUGUGAAACUGGACCUGGCCCCGUCGCUGUGUUCACACGGACCUCCAAGAGAAGAACUCUGGCUCCAAGAGAACUCCGGCGCAGCUCACCUCAGAGAAGCCCUGAAGCGCACGACCUGACCUGACCUCAAGCCCGUGCAUGCACAGCUGACAGGACUCCAGCAGUGCUGGACGGCCUGGCUCAGAGUUGACUGGGAGUGGCUGCCUGCUCCUCGUUUCCACCUCCCCCCUGCCCGUCAUGAGCUCACAACCUCACGAGGGAAGGUGGGACUCGGGCAAGCAGAUGCCCUCGCGGAGGCGACUGGAAGGCGGCAAGGCAUGGGGAGAGGAAUGGAGCCAGGAAGGCGUGGGGCACGGGUGUGUUGGUCACCACGGCAAGCAGGUCAAUUAACACAAGUUUGCAAGGAAAUUGCUCUAUCAGUCACCUGGAAUGUCCGGCCGGCAGAACAGGAGGGGAACUGAGCAGCCCAGGUGCUGAGAUUACAGGUGUGUGCUGUUAUUCGAGGCCUGAAAGUUGCAUGCUUUACUGGAGGCCCCUGAUCACUAGCGAAGCUGGGGUGAGGGACGAGCAAAGGCUAUGGAGGAAAUGCUCCAGCCACUGAUAAAUAAAUACGGUGGCUCGGCUACAGAGUAAGGGCGCGCAUCCCUCAACCCAGGAAGUAUCACUCUGCCGCAUCUCAGCUGCCCCAUGGCUUUCCCAGGCCAGCAGCAGAGUCCAGGAGCCGGCAGAGAGGCCGCUGCCACAGGGCGUAAGGCAUAUGGACGUGGCAUCUGAGAGCGUGGGCAGCCGGUGACGUCAUCGAAAAACCGGACACUUACGGGAUGGCCGACGUGACACUUGUGACUUAAUUAAAUAUGGACUUGGGACAGAAA